UAUGGAAGAGCGAAAUUUUGCGAUCGGUUUCGGCCCGUUUUUUAAAGGUAAUCUUUUUCUGUAG
rnacentral:tRNA from 1 species